UAUCGUUUUUUAAAAAAAAAAAGAUAGAAUCCUCUGAAAAGGACUAGGAGCUGGCCAUCGGAGUUCCGUGGAACCUCCGUCCACUAGUUCCCACGCGCCUACGCACCGCCGUGCACGGUGGUCGGAGGGCUAAAAACCCUUCCCUUUUCUAGCAUGAUACAGGUAUCCCAAUGAUCUCGGCGUUAACGGUGGUGCCAAGGCUAGAAGGGAGGCCUGAUAUUGCGGUGGACGGACGCAUUGAUGGCGCGUCAGUAUGCAUUGAUGGCCUCGAUCUGGGGAGUUGCACCGACGCUCCUCAAGCUUCGAGAACUGCUAUGCCCGAGGGAAAGAGCUAGGGUUGAAAACCCUAGCUGAUAAUUUUAGGUUUUUGGGCCUCUGUUAUUCAGGUCCAGUUCAGGUCUGGGCUUCGGGUAUAUUUGGGCUAAGGUUGUAAUUGUAAUGAGUCAAGGGUGUAAACGGGUUAAGGGAUAGUUUAAAGGGUAUUUGGGCUACUGAGUGUAGGUUUUAACUUUUGGGCUGUAAAGGGACUUUUUAACAAAUAAA